GGAAGAGCCCAAACCAACAAGCUUGCUUGUUGGGGUUGUAGGACACUCUAUACGGAGUUACAAAGGACGACAUUAGACGAAUCAUCUGGAAAGAUGAAUCAAAGAAGGUAAUAAUCCUGUAGUCGAAAAUGUUGUCUCUCUUGAGUGGAUCCUGAGUACGACGGAGCACGUGAAAUUCCGUCGGAAUCUGGGAGGACCAUCUCCUAAGGCUAAAUACUCUCUAGUGACCGAUAGUGAACCAGUACCGUGAGGGAAAGGUGAAAAGCACCCCGGAAGGGGAGUGAAAUAGAACCUGAAACCGUGUGCUUACAAGUAGUCAGAGCCCGUUAAUGGGUGAUGGCGUGCCUUUUGUAGAAUGAACCGGCGAGUUACGAUUUGAUGCAAGGUUAAGCAGUAAAUGUGGAGCCGUAGCGAAAGCGAGUCUGAAUAGGGCGUUUAGUAUUUGGUCGUAGACCCGAAACCAGGUGAUCUACCCUUGGUCAGGUUGAAGUUCAGGUAACACUGAAUGGAGGACCGAACCGACUUACGUUGAAAAGUGAGCGGAUGAACUGAGGGUAGCGGAGAAAUUCCAAUCGAACCUGGAGAUAGCUGGUUCUCUCCGAAAUAGCUUUAGGGCUAGCCUCAAGUGAUGAUUAUUGGAGGUAGAGCACUGUUUGGACGAGGGGCCCCUCUCGGGUUACCGAAUUCAGACAAACUCCGAAUGCCAAUUAAUUUAACUUGGGAGUCAGAACAUGGGUGAUAAGGUCCGUGUUCGAAAGGGAAACAGCCCAGACCACCAGCUAAGGUCCCAAAAUAUAUGUUAAGUGGAAAAGGAUGUGGCGUUGCCCAGACAACUAGGAUGUUGGCUUAGAAGCAGCCAUCAUUUAAAGAGUGCGUAAUAGCUCACUAGUCGAGUGACACUGCGCCGAAAAUGUACCGGGGCUAAACAUAUUACCGAAGCUGUGGAUUGUCCUUUGGACAAUGGUAGGAGAGCGUUCUAAGGGCGUUGAAGCAUGAUCGUAAGGACAUGUGGAGCGCUUAGAAGUGAGAAUGCCGGUGUGAGUAGCGAAAGACGGGUGAGAAUCCCGUCCACCGAUUGACUAAGGUUUCCAGAGGAAGGCUCGUCCGCUCUGGGUUAGUCGGGUCCUAAGCUGAGGCCGACAGGCGUAGGCGAUGGAUAACAGGUUGAUAUUCCUGUACCACCUAUAAUCGUUUUAAUCGAUGGGGGGACGCAGUAGGAUAGGCGAAGCGUGCGAUUGGAUUGCACGUCUAAGCAGUAAGGCUGAGUAUUAGGCAAAUCCGGUACUCGUUAAGGCUGAGCUGUGAUGGGGAGAAGACAUUGUGUCUUCGAGUCGUUGAUUUCACACUGCCGAGAAAAGCCUCUAGAUAGAAAAUAGGUGCCCGUACCGCAAACCGACACAGGUAGUCAAGAUGAGAAUUCUAAGGUGAGCGAGCGAACUCUCGUUAAGGAACUCGGCAAAAUGACCCCGUAACUUCGGGAGAAGGGGUGCUCUUUAGGGUU
rnacentral:rRNA from 1 species